CCUUUAAUAUACUUUUUGUUUUUACUCGUUUAAGUCCUUUAUUUAUUCGUUUUUCUAAAUUCCAUCCUUUUGAUGGGACUUGAGUUGAGUCUGUGGACCUGUAAUUGCGUUGCUUUCUCCGCAAUAAGUCUAACAGUUGUCAUUGGCUUAUCUGAUCUCUUCGAUCCGACGGCCAAUUUUUUCCCUUUUAGUUUUUUUUAUUUUUUUUGGUCGUUAGUUUUUAUAUAAUGUUCUCUCGUGAAUUGAUAUGUACAAGACAGAAUACUUUCCAACGAAAUUAAUAACAGAUAGAAUAGUAAUGUUUUAGGAUAAAUUUUGUUUGUUUGACAAGGGAUCAACAGAAUAAUAUCUAUACUAUUAGAAAUGAAGAAUUCUUUAAAAAUAUACCUAUAAAAGGUUGCUGUAACAAUUCAUUGGACUUAACUUUUACUAGUCUUAUCUUAUAUAUUUAUAACAAUAUGUUACUCAAUACCAUGUUUGUCAAAAAAAAAAAAAAACUCAAUACCAUAUAUUUACCCGAUUUUUAUUCCUUCCUCUAACAAUAUGCGCGAUAAUAUUAAUUAAUAUCCUUAGUUUCUUAACGAAGUCAGAGGGAAUUAAAUUAUGGUAACUUGGCAACUCUUGUGCAUUCCUAUGUAACAUGUAUGCAGCAUGUUCAUAUAUGCUAUUGUACUGUUUAUUGUCUAUACUUCUUGAUUAAAAUGAACUACAUAUUUAAUAUAUAUAUAUAUAUAUAUAUAUAUAUAUAUAUAUAUUCCAUGAUGGACGUAUAAUAAUACAAUCAUCCAGUUAAUAACAUGGUUCAAAAUCUUAUUCUAAUUUUUUAAUUAUUGUUACUCUUUAUUUUGUAUGAUACACUUUUUCUAUAAAUUAAUUAUAUAUUUCAUCGUAGUGGUUGUAAUCAAUAAUAUUAUACACUGUAUUUUAUGCUCAGGAUCUACAAUAUUUAUAUAUUAAUUAUUAAAUGAGUUAGUAUAUACUGUAUCAUUAAAAUUUAAACAUAUUGUACUAUGGUUGACAAAAAAAACAUAUUGUACUAUGUUAUUUUACAUUAUAUAGUUUCAAAUAUUUAAAAUUCAAAGUUAAUAAAAAAUAGUUUUGCAAAUCUUAUGUUAAAAUAAAAUUAUAUUAAAAAAUUAUGCUAACUUAAUUUUUAGAAAAAUUAUUAUAAAAAAUUAUUGAGAAAUUUUAAAACUAUUAAAAACCUACAAAUAUGUUCUACAAAAUAAGCUAAAAAAAAUAUACCAAGUAAAUCUUAAACUAUAUCAAUUUAACAAAUGAACUCUUAUGAAAUACACACAAAAUAUAAUGAGAGAGUAGAUCUGGAUAUUCAGAUAUUCGGGUCGGCUCCUUUUUAUCCGGGUUUUUUGGAUCAUAAACAUUUGGACCUAAAUAGAUAUUUGAUUUUUUUUUAAUUCGGGUUUAGGUCGAUUAUUUUCAUGUUGAGGUCGGUUCAUAAUCAUAAUUCAACCACAUGUAAAAUACAUGUAAUAUUUGAGUACAUAGCAUGUCUAGGUCGGUUCAGAUAUUAAGAUCUGAAAAAGAUUUGAAGUACCUGAAAAUCUGAAAAUGAUUUGAAACUUGAAAAAUAACCGAAAACCCAAAAAAAUAUUUAAAUACUCGAGAAAGAUCUGAAAUGCUUUUUGAAAUAUAACAAAAGAACCUACACUACGUAAACUUUUAUCUGAAUACCCGAAAUAUAUUUUUAAAAAUUUGAAAUUCUACCUAAAACCUGAAAGUAUAACUGAAAACUUACCCAAAAAGAAUUUUCGUAAUACCAAAAACAUAUCCAAAAUACCUAAAUAUGUCUAAUAUACACAUACAUAUUAUGUAAUUUGGGUAUCCGACCAGAUUUUGGGUUGGAUCCGUCUGAACCGAGAUCUACAGGUCCAAGAAUAUCCAAUAUGUACAUAUCCCUCGACCAGAUUUUGGUAUUAUUUUUGGAUUCGAGUAAAAAUUAGGUUUAAGAGAGAGAAUUAUAUAAAAUGUACAUACAUAAUCUCAAAUAAAUUAAUUCAUAAAUUAUGUAGUCUUAAACAAAAUUUCUUUUUCGAUAUAAUAUAAUUUUGUAACAUAAUAAUAUACAAUAAUCACAAAAUACUAAUUUAUGUCAAAAUUUAGCAAUAAUAA